UUAAGCGACUAAGCGUACACGGUGGAUGCCCUGGCAGUCAGAGGCGAUGAAGGACGUGCUAAUCUGCGAUAAGCGUCGGUAAGGUGAUAUGAACCGUUAUAACCGGCGAUUUCCGAAUGGGGAAACCCAGUGUGUUUCGACACACUAUCAUUAACUGAAUCCAUAGGUUAAUGAGGCGAACCGGGGGAACUGAAACAUCUAAGUACCCCGAGGAAAAGAAAUCAACCGAGAUUCCCCCAGUAGCGGCGAGCGAACGGGGAGCAGCCCAGAGCCUGAAUCAGUGUGUGUGUUAGUGGAAGCGUCUGGAAAGGCGCGCGAUACAGGGUGACAGCCCCGUACACAAAAAUGCACAUGCUGUGAGCUCGAUGAGUAGGGCGGGACACGUGGUAUCCUGUCUGAAUAUGGGGGGACCAUCCUCCAAGGCUAAAUACUCCUGACUGACCGAUAGUGAACCAGUACCGUGAGGGAAAGGCGAAAAGAACCCCGGCGAGGGGAGUGAAAAAGAACCUGAAACCGUGUACGUACAAGCAGUGGGAGCACGCUUAGGCGUGUGACUGCGUACCUUUUGUAUAAUGGGUCAGCGACUUAUAUUCUGUAGCAAGGUUAACCGAAUAGGGGAGCCGAAGGGAAACCGAGUCUUAACUGGGCGUUAAGUUGCAGGGUAUAGACCCGAAACCCGGUGAUCUAGCCAUGGGCAGGUUGAAGGUUGGGUAACACUAACUGGAGGACCGAACCGACUAAUGUUGAAAAAUUAGCGGAUGACUUGUGGCUGGGGGUGAAAGGCCAAUCAAACCGGGAGAUAGCUGGUUCUCCCCGAAAGCUAUUUAGGUAGCGCCUCGUGAAUUCAUCUCCGGGGGUAGAGCACUGUUUCGGCAAGGGGGUCAUCCCGACUUACCAACCCGAUGCAAACUGCGAAUACCGGAGAAUGUUAUCACGGGAGACACACGGCGGGUGCUAACGUCCGUCGUGAAGAGGGAAACAACCCAGACCGCCAGCUAAGGUCCCAAAGUCAUGGUUAAGUGGGAAACGAUGUGGGAAGGCCCAGACAGCCAGGAUGUUGGCUUAGAAGCAGCCAUCAUUUAAAGAAAGCGUAAUAGCUCACUGGUCGAGUCGGCCUGCGCGGAAGAUGUAACGGGGCUAAACCAUGCACCGAAGCUGCGGCAGCGACGCUUAUGCGUUGUUGGGUAGGGGAGCGUUCUGUAAGCCUGCGAAGGUGUGCUGUGAGGCAUGCUGGAGGUAUCAGAAGUGCGAAUGCUGACAUAAGUAACGAUAAAGCGGGUGAAAAGCCCGCUCGCCGGAAGACCAAGGGUUCCUGUCCAACGUUAAUCGGGGCAGGGUGAGUCGACCCCUAAGGCGAGGCCGAAAGGCGUAGUCGAUGGGAAACAGGUUAAUAUUCCUGUACUUGGUGUUACUGCGAAGGGGGGACGGAGAAGGCUAUGUUGGCCGGGCGACGGUUGUCCCGGUUUAAGCGUGUAGGCUGGUUUUCCAGGCAAAUCCGGAAAAUCAAGGCUGAGGCGUGAUGACGAGGCACUACGGUGCUGAAGCAACAAAUGCCCUGCUUCCAGGAAAAGCCUCUAAGCAUCAGGUAACAUCAAAUCGUACCCCAAACCGACACAGGUGGUCAGGUAGAGAAUACCAAGGCGCUUGAGAGAACUCGGGUGAAGGAACUAGGCAAAAUGGUGCCGUAACUUCGGGAGAAGGCACGCUGAUAUGUAGGUGAAGCGACUUGCUCGUGGAGCUGAAAUCAGUCGAAGAUACCAGCUGGCUGCAACUGUUUAUUAAAAACACAGCACUGUGCAAACACGAAAGUGGACGUAUACGGUGUGACGCCUGCCCGGUGCCGGAAGGUUAAUUGAUGGGGUUAGCGCAAGCGAAGCUCUUGAUCGAAGCCCCGGUAAACGGCGGCCGUAACUAUAACGGUCCUAAGGUAGCGAAAUUCCUUGUCGGGUAAGUUCCGACCUGCACGAAUGGCGUAAUGAUGGCCAGGCUGUCUCCACCCGAGACUCAGUGAAAUUGAACUCGCUGUGAAGAUGCAGUGUACCCGCGGCAAGACGGAAAGACCCCGUGAACCUUUACUAUAGCUUGACACUGAACAUUGAGCCUUGAUGUGUAGGAUAGGUGGGAGGCUUNGAAGUGUGGACGCCAGUCUGCAUGGAGCCGACCUUGAAAUACCACCCUUUAAUGUUUGAUGUUCUAACGUUGACCCGUAAUCCGGGUUGCGGACAGUGUCUGGUGGGUAGUUUGACUGGGGCGGUCUCCUCCUAAAGAGUAACGGAGGAGCACGAAGGUUGGCUAAUCCUGGUCGGACAUCAGGAGGUUAGUGCAAUGGCAUAAGCCAGCUUGACUGCGAGCGUGACGGCGCGAGCAGGUGCGAAAGCAGGUCAUAGUGAUCCGGUGGUUCUGAAUGGAAGGGCCAUCGCUCAACGGAUAAAAGGUACUCCGGGGAUAACAGGCUGAUACCGCCCAAGAGUUCAUAUCGACGGCGGUGUUUGGCACCUCGAUGUCGGCUCAUCACAUCCUGGGGCUGAAGUAGGUCCCAAGGGUAUGGCUGUUCGCCAUUUAAAGUGGUACGCGAGCUGGGUUUAGAACGUCGUGAGACAGUUCGGUCCCUAUCUGCCGUGGGCGCUGGAGAACUGAGGGGGGCUGCUCCUAGUACGAGAGGACCGGAGUGGACGCAUCACUGGUGUUCGGGUUGUCAUGCCAAUGGCACUGCCCGGUAGCUAAAUGCGGAAGAGAUAAGUGCUGAAAGCAUCUAAGCACGAAACUUGCCCCGAGAUGAGUUCUCCCUGACNGUCCUGAAGGAACGUUGAAGACGACGACGUUGAUAGGCCGGGUGUGUAAGCGCAGCGAUGCGUUGAGCUAACCGGUACUAAUGAACCGUGAGGCUUAACCUU
rnacentral:rRNA from 1 species